rnacentral:rRNA from 1 species
GACGUAGGGCGCGAGCGUUGUCUGGAUUUAUUGGGCGUAAAGAGCUCGUAGGCGGCUUGUCGCGUCGAAAUGUGAAAUCUCAGGGCUCAACUCUGACAUUGCAUUCGAUACGGGCAGGCUAGAGUUCGGUAGGGGAGACUGGAAUUCCUGGCGUAGCGGUGAAAUGCGCAGAUAUCGGGAGGAACACCAGUGGCGAAGGCGGCACUCUGGGGCCAGUAUUGACGCUGAGGAGCGAAAGCGUGGGGAGCGAACAGG